rnacentral:rRNA from 1 species
UACGUAGGUGGCAAGCGUUAUCCGGAAUUACUGGGCGUAAAGCGCACGCAGGCGGUCUUUUAAGUUUGACGUGAAAGCUCUCGGCUUAACUGGGAGAGGUCGUUGAAUACUGGAAGACUUGAGGAAAUGAGAGGGGUGUAGAAUUCCCGGUGUAGUGGUGGAAUGCGUAGAUAUCGGGGGGAAUACCAGUGGCGAAAGCGGCACCCUAGCAUUUUACUGACGCUCAUGUGCGAAAGCGUGGGGAGCGAACGGG